AUUGAACGCUGGCGGCAUGCUUUACACAUGCAAGUCGAACGGUAACAGGCCUUCGGGUGCUGACGAGUGGCGCACGGGUGAGUAAUGCAUCGGAACGUGCCCAGAGGUGGGGGGUAUCGCAGCGAAAGCUGGGCUAAUAUCCCACGUGAUCUGUGGGUGAAAACGGGGGACCAGGUCGCAAUGUUUGGCCUCGCGCCUUUGUAGCGGCCGAUGUCAGAUUAGCUAGGUGGUGGGGUAAAGGCCUACCAAGCCGACGAUCAGUAGCUGGUCUGAGAGGACGAGCAGGCACACUGGAACUGAGACACGGGCCAGACUCCUACGGGAGGCAGCAGUGGGGAAUAGUGGACAAUGGGCGAAAGCCUGAUCCAGCCAUGCCGCGUGUGUGAAGAAGGUCUUCGGAUUGUAAAGCACUUUAAGUUGGGAGGAAGGGCAGUAAGUUAAUACCUUGCUGUUUUGACGUUACCAACAGAAUAAGCACCGGCUAACUUCGUG
rnacentral:rRNA from 1 species